UAGGGAAUCUUGCGCAAUGGACGAAAGUCUGACGCAGCAAUACCGCGUGCACGAUGAAGGUCUUCGGAUCGUAAAGUGCUUUUCCACGGGAAGAGAAAGGACUGUACCGUGGGAAUAAGGGUCGGCUAACUACGUGCCAGCAGCCGCGGUAACACGUAGGAUCCAAACGUUAUCCGGAUUUACUGGGCGUAAAGCGCGUGCAGGUGGUUUGGUAGGUUGGGUGUCAAAGCUCUGGGCUUAACCCGGAGAG
rnacentral:rRNA from 1 species